UAAAUGAAAAUAUAAAUAUGAGAUGAAAAACUUACAAAACGGCACUGAAAAAAGUUAAAACUAAAACUAAAAGAAAAAUAAAUGAAAGACAAAUAGAAAUAUAAAAAACAACAAAAACUAGUUAAAACUUAAUGCCAAGAGCACAUAACAAAAUCACCAAACUGGAAUAAAAUGGAAUUGAAUGAAACUAAAUAAUUACUACUAGUAUAUAAAUAAAACAAAAAUAUCACUGAAUAAUUACGAUAAUUUCACAGUUACUUUUUAAGUAAUUCUGUUGAAGUUGUGUGGAAGUCGGGGAAGUCGUGGCCUACUGGUUAGAGAGUUUGACUCCUUACCCUAAGGUUGUGGGUUUGAGUCUUGGGUCGGCAAUACCACGACUGAGUAUUGGUCACGUCACUUUCACUUUUUCCACUUUCACUUUUUCACUUUAAUUUGCAAGAAACUAGCACAUCAAUUUAGAUCAGACAUGAAAUUAUUCUUCCAGAAGGGAAACAUGGUUUCAAAUUAUGUAAACAUAAGUAAGAUUUUCUGUCUGUGGCUGCAAUUCCCCACAUCUGCAUUACAGCAAAAACAACACCCCACCCACCCUGCCUUCGAUUUCUACCGAUUUCUACACAGAUAUGCCGUCUGCAUUUAGUGCAUGAUUCACUGAAGGAAUUAUGCAAAACAGCAUCGCUCUGCCAUUGCAAUCAAGGCACCUGAACACAUCCCUUUUUAUUAACAUUUGUUUGCAGCCUGCAUUCUGUGGGCGCUGAAAGCAUAAUGUACAAUCCACCAGGCAUAUAACGCAGAAGCACAAAUGAUAACCUGUCUAAUUUACCAAAAACACGAGAUAUGUUUGGGCUGAAAAGAAUAUCACUUAAUUUAAACAUUCACACACAUUGUAGGAGGUUAGUGAAUGUGAUGCAGGUUUUUGUACUGAAAUAUUUUGCAGAAAGUUUUAUGAUAAUCUUUCUCUUUAUCAGAGCUCCACACACUACUUCACUCAGCACUUCCUCUCAGCUCUCUUUCCUGCUGCUGCUUGUGACUAAACGUCACAGGGUCAUGGUGUUGUCAAGUUUUCCGCAUUCGCUCAUGCUCAAACCUGAUUUUUCCUGACACAUGGUGUUUUACAUGAACCUACUAAAUAUUUGUCUGAUCUUCGAAAGACAUUAUAAAGCAUAAGGAAUUUCUUAUAUGCAAGAAAUACAAGCUUGUGUAUAAACUACUGUUUAAAAGUUUGAGGUCUGUAAGAGUCUCUCCAGACUGCAUUUAUUUGAUCAAA